rnacentral:tRNA from 1 species
GCGGGGGUUGCCGAGUCUGGUCAAAGGCGCAAGGCUUAGGACCUUGUGGGGUAGCCCUGCGUGGGUUCAAAUCCCACCCCCCGCACCA